rnacentral:lncRNA from 1 species
CUUGUUACUGUUAGUUCUUGUAAAUCACCAUUUAUUAAUGUUUAAGUGUGAAUUGGUUUUUCUAACUUCAAUUAUAUUGUUACUAAAGUGUUUUUACGAAUUACUAAUAAAUCUACGUUUGGCAGAGUUACUAUGGAUUGUUUUGGUGUGGUCAGUUAUUUGUUGCGGUGGCUACAAGAAACCGAAUUGGAAAUUAACGUUAGGACUAAACGACGUAACAGCAAUGGGGACCGGGGUCGAACUCCAGCUGGGUUCGUGGCCGAGGGCCCAAGCUCGUCGCAUUCUUAAUGCAGUUUUAUCUUUAUCAAGAUUAGAUCUCUUCAAGUAGUCGGCCGCAGUGGAAGCGCGUUCUCUUUCCAUAUUGGAGGAUCCGAAUUCAAACCCCGGAUCCUAUCUGCCGGAUUGGGCGCAUGGAAACGCUUCGGCCGUCCAUUUUGGAGGACCAGAGUUCGAAUUGCGGGUCCCAUCCCUUAAAAAUAUUUUUCACGAGGUCCGGGCCCGGCCAUCGAGUCCCGUCCUCCACGAUUCGCUGACCCUUCUGCAGGGGUGGGCAGCCUGUAGAAGGGCUUCUUUCGCUUCAUCAAUUAGUAUUCUAAUUGAAUGGA